AUUGAACGCUGGCGGCAUGCCUUACACAUGCAAGUCGAACGGUAACAGGUCUUCGGAUGCUGACGAGUGGCGAACGGGUGAGUAAUACAUCGGAACGUGCCUAGUAGUGGGGGAUAACUACUCGAAAGAGUGGCUAAUACCGCAUGAGAUCUACGGAUGAAAGCAGGGGAUCGCAAGACCUUGUGCUACUAGAGCGGCCGAUGGCAGAUUAGGUAGUUGGUGGGAUAAAAGCUUACCAAGCCGACGAUCUGUAGCUGGUCUGAGAGGACGAUCCACCACACGGGGACGGAGACACGGCCCAGACUCCGACGGGAGGCAGCAGUGGGGAAUUUUGGACGAUGGGGGCAAGCCUGAUCCAGCAAUGCCGCGUGCAGGAUGAAGGCCUUCGGGUUGUAAACUGCUUUUGGACGGAACGAAAAGCCCCGGGUUAAUACCCUGGGGUCAUGACGGUACCGUAAGAAUAAGCACCGGCUAACUACGUGCCAGCCGCCGCGGUAA
rnacentral:rRNA from 1 species